rnacentral:rRNA from 1 species
UACGAAGGGGGCUAGCGUUGUUCGGAUUUGCUGGGCGUAACGCGCGCGCAGGCGGCUUUGCAAGUCAGGGGUGAAAUCCCAGAGCUCAACUCUGGAAUUGCCUUUGAGACUGUGAGGCUUCGAGUACGGGAGAGGUGAGUGGAAUUCCCAGUGGAGAGGUGAAAGGCGUAGAUAUUGGGAAGAACACCGGGGGCGAAGGCGGCUCACUGGCCCGUUACUGACGCUCAGGCGCGACAGCGUGGGGAUCAAACAGG